CCUACGAGUGGCAGCAGUGAGGAAUAUUGGUCAAUGGGCGCGAGCCUGAACCAGCCAAGUAGCGUUAAGGAUGACUGCCCUACGGGUUGUAAACUUCCUUUAUAAAGGAAUAAAGUGAGGCACGUGUGCCUUUUUGUAUGUACUUUAUUAAUAAGGAUCGGCUAAAUCCGUGCCAGCAGCCGCGGUAAUACGGAGGAUCCGAGCGUUAUCCGGAUUUAUUGGGUUUAAAGGGAGCGUAGAUGGGUUGUUAAAUCAGUUGUGAAAGUUUGCGGCUCAAACGUAAAAUUGCAAUUGAUACUGGCAGUCUUGAGUACAGUUGAGGUAGGCGGAAUUCGUGGUGUAGCGGUGAAAUGCUUAGAUAUCACGAAGAACUCCGAUUGCGAAGGCAGCUUACUAAACUGCCACUGACAUUGAUGCUCGAAAGUGUGGGUAUCAAACAGGAUUAGAUACCCGAGUAGUC
rnacentral:rRNA from 1 species